rnacentral:rRNA from 1 species
AUACGGAGGGUGCAAGCGUUACUCGGAAUCACUGGGCGUAAAGCGCGCGCAGGCGGUCUUUUAAGUUGGAUGUGAAAGCCUACGGCUCAACCGUAGAACUGCAUCCAAAACUAUUAGACUAGAGUGUGGGAGAGGAAGAUGGAAUUAGUAGUGUAGGGGUAAAAUCCGUAGAGAUAACUAGGAAUACCAAAAGCGAAGGCAAUCUUCUGGAACACUACUGACGCUGAGGCGCGAAAGCGUGGGGAGCAAACAGGAUUAGAAACCCUAGUAGUCC